rnacentral:rRNA from 1 species
GGGCUUGACAUCCCACGAACCUGCCUGAAAGGGCGGGGUGCCCGCAAGGGAGCGUGGAGACAGGUGGUGCAUGGCUGUCGUCAGCUCGUGUCGUGAGAUGUUGGGUUAAGUCCCGCAACGAGCGCAACCCUCACCCCUAGUUGCCACCGGGUAAAGCCGAGCACUCGAGGGGAACUGCCAGCGUCAAGCUGGAGGAAGGCGGGGAUGACGUCAAGUCAUCAUGCCCCUUAUGCCCUGGGCUACACACGUGCUACAAUGGCCGGUACAGAGGGACGCGAGACCGCAAGGUGGAGCUAAUCCCAAAAAACUGGUCUAAGUUCAGAUUGCAGUCUGCAACUCGACUGCAUGAAGGAGGAAUCGCUAGUAAUCGCGCAUCAGCACGGCGCGGUGAAUACGUUCCCGGGCCUUGUACACACCGCCCGUCACACCACGAAAGCUGUCUGUACUCGAAGUCGCUGAG